AAAGAACCCGGUGACAGGUGCUGCAUGGCUGUCGUCAGCUCGUGUCGUGAGAUGUUGGGUUAAGUCCCGCAACGAGCGCAACCCUUCGCCUUUUAGUUGCCAGCAUUCAGUUUGGGCACUCUAGAGGGACUGCCGGUGUCAAACCGGAGGAAGGUGGGGAUGACGUCAAGUCCUCAUGGCCUUUAUGUCUAGGGCUACACACGUACUACAAUGGCCGGUACAAAGGGCAGCCACUCAGCGAUGAGGCGCUAAUCCCAUAAAGCCGGUCUCAGUCCGGAUCGCAGUCUGCAACUCGACUGCGUGAAGUUGGAUUCGCUAGUAAUCGCGCAUCAGCCAUGGCGCGGUGAAUACGUUCCCGGGCCUU
rnacentral:rRNA from 1 species